rnacentral:rRNA from 1 species
UGAGGAACAUGACCUUCGGCGGGGGAUAGCCGGCCCAACGGCCGGGUAAUACCGCGUACGACCACAUGGGGACAUCCCUGAGUGGUGAAAGCAGCAAUGCGCCGAUGGAGUGCCUCGCGGCCUAUCAGCUAGUUGGUGAGGUAACGGCUCACCAAGGCGACGACGGGUAGCUGGUCUGAGAGGAUGGCCAGCCACAUUGGGACUGAGACACGGCCCAAACUCCUAGGGAGG